CAGUCGCCGCGGUAAUACGAAGGGGGCUAGCGUUGUUCGGAAUUACUGGGCGUAAAGCGCGCGCAGGCGGCCUAUCCAGUCUGUCUUAAAAGUUCGGGGCUCAACCCCGUGAUGGGAUGGAAACUAGUAGGCUAGAGUAUCGGAGAGGAAAGCGGAAUUCCUAGUGUAGCGGUGAAAUGCGUAGAUAUUAGGAAGAACACCAGUGGCGAAGGCGGUUUUCUGGACGAAAACUGACGCUGAGGCGCGAAGGCCAAGGGAGCGAACGGGAUUAGAUACCCCAGUAGUCCCUGUCUCUUAUACA
rnacentral:rRNA from 1 species